UUCGUCACCACCCCACCAAACGCCACAGUGGCUCCUCCACAACCGCCCGCAACCCUUUCCCCUUUUCCCCAGCUCCUCCUCCAUCCUCUUGUGCCCCCUCCCACAUCUCAUCCACCCCCUCAUCUCUGACCGGAUCCGUGACAUGCGGGACGGAGGCGAGCUUCUCCGGCGUCGGUGACCUGCAGGCGAAGGGCGAGGGCGUCGACGCUUGAUUUGAGGCAGCGUCAUGGAUCGGUCCCUGCUAAGCCACGAGAUUGCUGGACUGCCACCAUCCCUCCUGCACUGUGCGUUGCCUCCUGCGAGUGCCACCUCGCCCCACUAGCUUCCAACGCCAUGGAUCCGCCGGAGAUGGAGGGCAACAAGUGAGGGAGUAGGAGAACAGGUGAAUCGAGGGAGUGAAAGAAGGAGCUCACACGGGAAGGGGAAGAGGGAGUCUGGCGGCGUAUCCACAUCUCAUCCCCGGCUGUAGAUCUUUUGACGCCAUGGCACCAGUGGUGGCUCCUUGAUGGAGCGCCUCCUCCCAUGACGGCACGACCAGCCGCUCUUGCUCGACGCCACGAUACACAACGAGGUCGAUGGCUUCCACGGAGCAGAGGCCCUCUUCAUCUCGGCAGAGGAGCAGAACGGCCAGGAGCUGGUGGCCUGCUGCCCUAUGCCAAUGGAUGCGCCUCCCAGAUGGCUAGCAAUGCCAGAUCCGGCUAGAAAGGGCUCUAUGGCAGAUUGAGAAGCUGAUCCGAGCGAAGCAAUGAUGUUUGGUGUUCUUCUGCUGGAGCUGAUCACCAGGAGAAGAAUCUAUGAUGCUUCGAGGCCUAAACCAGAGCAGAGCUUGCUAACAUGGCAAACUACUAUGGAUGCUGAUCCAUCACAAUAUUGACCAUUAACUUUGUGCUCAUCUCCGAGGUUAUUUUGCGUAUAGCCAUUUGCUUCUCUGGCAUUUCCUUGAAGCUGCCAUUGCAAGAGGAAACAGAAGGAUAUCUUCGUGAUCAGCACAUUGGUGUCUAAGGCUACUUGCUGUGUCACUGCGCCCGGCAAGUGCAUGAAUAAACAUGGAUAGAUCAAUACAGAUAGGUUAAUUACCGACUAUCAUAGCUAAAAGUUCUGAAAAAUCAUUUGAAGUGAUGUUCUUUUGGUUUUCCGUUCAAAUAUCAUCGAUCCUUGUGCCUGCUGAAUCUCUAAUUUAACACAUGUUGGCAGUCUGACAAACAGUAAGACACUUUUGGUGGUGCUAAUUAACUCGUCUGAGCCUGAAUGACAAAGAAAUAUUUUU